AGUAAUAGUAGUAGUUGUAGUAGUAGUAGUAGUAGUAGUAAUAUUAGUUGUAGUAGUAGUAGGGCUUAAUACAACGUAAACUGUGGUAGCCCUAAAACUCCCAACAACAACAAUAGGCGGGUGACUUCAAAAUUUGAACACAAGGAGUCGAGGCUCAAUACAGCAUCAUCUGUGGUGGUUUUCUUAAUUUCUAACAAGAACAGAACCAAGCACGUUUACAAUGAUAAAUGAAGAUGGAGGAGUAAGCCACACUCUGUAUACUGUGUGUGGGGGCAUAAAUCCUACUGACUUGAAUGAACAUAGCUUAACUUGUGAUUAAGCUUAUGUCAGACUUCACAUAUUCUGUUACUCAAUCCUUGUCUUAAGAAUUAUUUAUUAAUCUAUAUGGUGCAUGUAGUAUAGGAUACAGUAUACUAUACAGUUAUAUUGCUUAUUGUCUUUUAGCUCAUUUUACAAUUAGACAAACGUACUGUACUUAAUUGUAAAAAAAAAAAAAAUGCCACCAGAAAAAAGCACAA